rnacentral:lncRNA from 7 species
AGAAGCUUUACAAGCCGUGCUGCUCUUGGAACGGCUUUCUUUUUUCAGUCACUUGAGAGCAUUCACUUUGGCAGCACAGCCAUUAUUUGGAAAUUUCCAUAUCACCUCACAUGGUCUUCUCUUGCAGGUCUUAUAGAUCAAACCGACUCCCCAUGGUCUGGGUGGAGGCUACAGCCCCAAUUCCUUCAUCAAACCCAGCCUGGGACUGCCAGGAUAAAUGUUAGCAUGACCUUUCUGAAAGAACGCCUGCCCACAUCCUGGAGUCUCUUCUAUAUUCUCAAGAUGCUGCUGCUAGUGGACAGACAGGUCAUUGCAUACGUUCACACGUACACAUGCCUGUAUCCCUAUGUGAAGAAGGGCUGAAAUACUCGGGGAGCCUGGGCAGAGCUGGCUUUGGGAGCUCUCCAAGCCUUUGCUUUAUCAGACCCUUGGCAGGAGGCAGAGCCCAGGAGAUGCCAAGAGCAACAAAAAAACAAAGACACAAUUCAGUCUGCUGAAAGUCUCUCGUGAAACACCACUUCUGCACUGGAUCCCCACAUCCAGCAACGUUGAGAGUAUCCUCAAGCCAUUCAGCUGAGGAAAACAGAGGCCAUCUCAGUCCCAUGGAACUAGGACUCUCUGUCUCUGCUGCUGAGCUUUGCUGGGGUACGAACAGGGGAGCGUGCCUUAGUAUUCAAUUACAGAAAGUAUGCAGCUUUUCAUCCUCCCUGACGGUCCGCCUGGAGGGCCCCAGCACUACUGAAGGCCCACAACUAAAUCAGAGAGAGGAAAUCCACAGAGAAAUGCAUGGAAAAGCACCUCCAGCACUGAGUAUUUUUCCGGUUCCAAGCGAGCCAAAUCUACUCUGGCAUCUGGGUUUAGAGAUUUCCAUCUCAAUCCUUGGCAAAUGUCAUUUUGGGGAGGAUUAUCCCAGAUGAUAACAAAUAACCCUAUUUCCUGGAACACUGCUGUCUGUACCUCACAAGGCUCUC